UACGUAGGGGGCGAGCGUUGUCCGGAUUUACUGGGUGUAAAGGGCGUGUAGGCGGGACUGUAAGUCAGAUGUGAAAUUCCGAGGCUUAACCUCGGCGCUGCAUCUGAAACUAUGGUUCUUGAGUGUCGGAGAGGAAAGCGGAAUUCCUAGUGUAGCGGUGAAAUGCGUAGAUAUUAGGAGGAACAUCGGUGGCGAAGGCGGCUUUCUGGACGAUAACUGACGCUGAGGCGCGAAAGCGUGGGGAGCAAACAGG
rnacentral:rRNA from 1 species